UACGGAAGGCAGCAGUGGGGAAUAUUGCACAAUGGGCGCAAGCCUGAUGCAGCCAUGCCGCGUGUAUGAAAAAGGCCUUCGGGUUGUAAAGUACUUUCAGUCGUGAGGAAGGUGUUAAGGUUAAUAACCUUAGCAAUUGACGUUAGCGACAGAAGAAGCACCGGCUAACUCCGUGCCAGCAGCCGCGGUAAUACGGAGGGUGCGAGCGUUAAUCGGAAUUACUGGGCGUAAAGGGCACGCAGGCGGUUAAUUAAGUUGGAUGUGAAAUCCCCGGGCUUAACCUGGGAAUGGCAUUCAAGCUGGUUAGCUAGAGUCUUGUAGAGGGGGUAGAAUUCCAUGUGUAGCGGUGAAAUGCGUAGAGAUGUGGAGGAAUACCGGUGGCGAAGGCGGCCCCGUGGACAAAGACUGACGCUCAUGUGCGAAAGCGUGGGGAGCAAACAGGGAUUAGAUACC
rnacentral:rRNA from 1 species